rnacentral:misc_RNA from 1 species
AAGUAGUUCGACUUCCAUCAGCGCAGAAGACUAAGGAAUGUGGGAGAGUCAGAAUGCGUCGCCACACCUCUGCCGUUCAGGGUUUAUUAGGCCUGAUCUACUUAACGGUGAGGACAGCAACAUGGCUGUAUACGCCCUGCCGUUACCCACGCACAGAUCGCUGUGCACCGCAGAAGGACGUUGGGAAGAUCCAGAAAACUGUAACGACUACAUCGACUGCAUUCCUGAUAGCGACGGACAGCUGAUCCCACACAAAGGGUCAUGUCAUGGAGCUAUGUAUGACCCCGAGAAAAUGGCUUGUUUAGAACCAAGUGAGGAGGACAUUAGCUGCCAGCAACGAGUGUUACCUCAAUUUCGUUAUGUCGGUGAAGACCACAGCCUCGGAUUCAUAUGUGAAGGAAAACCAAAUGGAUUUUACUGUGCAGAUUGCAAAACUCUUGUGAACUGCAUUGAUGAAAGUGCAUUUCCUUACACCUGCGAAAACAUGACCAGAUGUGACAGCAGACAGACGUUUGGGGGUGGUGUGUGCUACCCAGAACAUCCUCAGCAAUGUUUUUGUCACACAAAGCACACGUUUCACGUCGAUCUAUACGAUGAUCGGAAAUUCUACUACUGCGAGGACGUACAGGCUGCAUACGACAUCUUCCAGUGCCCUAACGAGAUGAUCUUUAUAGAGGACGAAAUUCAGUGUAACACGCGUUCAGGCUUGCCGAGGUGCAGGUACAUGGGCAUCUUCUCGUAUAUUCCCGACUGCAGAAGGUACUACGUCUGCAUCCUCACCCUGACAGGAUGGGUGCAGAAGGCUUUCAGGUGCCACAAUGACAGCGCCCUCGGUGAGCUCAUGUUCAAUCAAGUCACAGGGGAGUGCGAGGACCCUUGCACUUGGACCAAGCAGGAGUUCUCCUGCCAGAGAGAGGGUCGGUUUGGGGAUACCUUCAGCUGCCGUAUAUACCAUGAGUGUGUUGCCAUGCCCUACGGAUUCCGGCAUGUGAAGCACGAGUGUCCCUUGGGCUACACGUGGGAUCCGACAGCUCACAACGGCUACGGCCUUUGUGUUCUGGCCGAGACCAACACUGGUUGCGUCGUGGACUACUCCGAACUCAAUUUGUGUGUUGUACCUGAAUCUAGAUGUCCCUAUGUUCCUGUUGGAAAUUCCUCUUUUGUUCUUCCUCCCGACGAGAUUGAGCCACCCAAUACCAUCAGUGCUGCAGCACUAGACAUUCCCACCACCAUUGCAAACAUUUUGCACAACACAGAGCCUCCAGUCCCUGCAGUAUCGCUUCAAACAGUACCACCCUUGGAGUACACCACGAUGUCUGAGGAGACGACCACAUAUUUUCAACCUUUGGAAAAUGUAGAAUUUUCUUUGGAAGAUGAUGCAUUCAUAGACUCUCCCGACCCACCUCAGAUCCAUCGAGCCAGUGUCCCCAGCCGUUUGACUUGGUAGCCGGCGAUUGCGUCAUGGUCUCGGGAGAGGACGAGAGGCGCAACUACACCGGGGCCAUGGAGUACUGCGGCCAGCUGGGAGCAGGCUUGGCCUCGCCCUCCGACCUGAUGGCGCUAAGGAACUACGUCUUGCUUCAGUUGGGUGUGAUUCACGUCCGGAUCGGCGCAACCCGCAGUCCCGAAAUGGAAGGAACCUGGUUCUGGCCCGACGGAAGACCUGUCCAGCCCUCAGCCUGGGGUCCUUGGCAGCCUGACAAUGCUGGGGGUCAGGAGUACUGUGCCACACUCAACACCAACCUGUGGUGGAAUGGACCUCUCAGUGACUUCAGUUGUAAUGGCCUGUUUGCCUUUGUUUGUCAGCAUGGUGUGUGAAUCUUCUGCCAUUAUUUCUGUGUUUGUGUUGUGCUGUCAUUCCCAGUAUCUUCAAUUUUGAAGUAUUUCAUAUUUUGUCACUUUCUUAGUUGUUGGAUUUCAACAUUUUAUUUUUCAGUUUCUUAACUAAACCUUUGUUAAUUGUAACAUUGUUUUUAACAAUAUGUUGAGGCCAAGUCAUUUU